GACGAACGCUGGCGGCAUGCCUAACACAUGCAAGUCGAGCGAGCAGAUCCCUUCGGGGUGAAGCUAGCGGCGGACGGGUGAGUAACACGUGGGCAACCUGCCUCAUAGAGGGGAAUAGCCUUCCGAAAGGAAAAUUAAUACCGCAUAAGAUUGUAGCUUCGCAUGAAGCAGCAAUUAAAGGAGCAAUCCGCUAUGAGAUGGGGCCGUGGCGCAUUAGCUAGUUGGUGAGGUAACGGCUCACCAAGGCGACGAUGCGUAGCCGACCUGAGGGGGUGAUCGGCCACAUUGGGACUGAGACACGGCCCAGACUCCUACGGGAGGCAGCAGUGGGGAAUAUUGCACAAUGGGGGAAACCCUGAUGCAGCAAUGCCGCGUGAGUGAUGACGGCCUUCGGGUUGUAAAGCUCUGUCUUCGGGGACGAUAAUGACGGUACCCGAGGAGGAAGCCACGGCUAACUACGUGCCAGCAGCCGCGGUAA
rnacentral:rRNA from 1 species